GAUGAAGAACGCAUCGAAAUGCGAUACGUAAUGUGAAUUGCAGAAUUCAGUGAAUCAUCGAAUCUUUGAACGCAUAUUGCGCUCUCUGGUAUUCCGGAGAGCAUGCUUGUUUGAGUAUCAGUAAACACCUCAACUUCCAUAUCUUUUUUGAAAUGGGAGUUGGACUUGAGUGAUCCCAACGCUUUUCCUCACCGAAAAGUGGCGGGUUACUUGAAAUGCAGGUGCAGCUGGACUUUUCUCUGAGCUAUAAGCAUAUCUAUUUAGUCUGCCUAAAAACAGAUUAUUACCUUUGCUGCAGCUAACAUAAAGGAGAUUAGUUCUUGUGCUGACUGAUGCAGGAUUCACAAAGACAGGCUUCGGCCGACUUUGUAAACUCGAUCUCAAAUCAAGUAAGACUACCCGCUGAACUUAAGCAUAUCAAUAAGCGGAGGA
rnacentral:misc_RNA from 1 species